AUGCAUGUCUAAGUUCACACCCUUGUACGGUGAAACCGCGAAUGGCUCAUUAAAUCAGUCGAGGUUCCUUAGAUGAUCCCCAUCUACUUGGAUAACUGUGGUAAUUCUAGAGCUAAUACAUGAAGACCAGCUCCGACCCUCUGGGAAAGAGCGCUUUUAUUAGUUCAAAACCAGUCGGGUCGCUUGCGACCCGUCCUUUGGUGACUCUGGAUAACUUUGUGCCGAUCGCAUGGCCUCGAGCCGGCGACGCAUCUUUCAAAUGUCUGCCCUAUCAAAUGACGAUGGUACGUGAUCUGCCUACCAUGUUUUCAACGGGUAGCGGGGAAUCAGGGUUCGAUUCCGGAGAGGGAGCAUGAGAAACGGCUACCACA
rnacentral:rRNA from 1 species